AUGUGCGGCCACACGGCGGCGCUCUCCAGGUCACACGUUCGCUUCACGGAGCGCCACGGCCCAGCCGACCCCUCGCGUGUGAGCAUGAGCACCUGCCGCUCCCCCAGCAAGCCCCCCUGGGACAGGAGGACAACGCACUCAGUCCCGCUACAGAAUGGAAAGGGAGGCCUUGCUGGUGAUGAGCACCAGGGGCGGAGCCUCCACAAAGUGCACUCCAAGGACCACGCCCACUGUCAGGGGGAGGAGUUACCACAGGGGACACGGUGCCACCGGGCCUGCCCCCCAAAAGCCACGCAGCUGGAAAAGAAGGAAACGAAGGCGCCCAGCAUCCGAAGGGGGCGCCGACACGGCCACUCAGCCGGAGGCGAGGUAGACUGCGCCAAGGAGGCAGGGGUCGCGCUCGCUCUGGCGAGCAGUGGAGCGGGUGACCGGGAAAGGACCGCGGGAGCUCCUGAAGAAAACCGCCCGAGCACACCCCCCUGCCCGACACCAUUCCCCUUCAGGGAGCUGCAGGACCGCGGCACGCGGCAGCACGGCAGCUCCUUCUUGGGCGAGCGUACGAGGACCGCAAGGGCCGACAGCAACCUGCUUGGUGUCAAUCGUUUGGAGGCGCUGCCUUCGCCAUGCCUCUGCAGGAGGAAACGGAACGCGGGCAGAACGCCGGUGUCCGCCGGCAGCUCGGAGGAAGAGGAGGAGGUGUUCCGCAGCAGUGAGGAAGGAGACCCGGAGACGGUCGGGGAGAGAGGUGAGUCCCGCUCCAGCGAGAGGGGGCGCUGCCGGACCGACGGGGGGAGGGAGGCUGUCGGAGGGGCUCUGGCUGAUGUUCCGUCUCCCCUCUCCAGGCUCCUGGAGGAAGUGUCACCUGGACACUGCUGCGUGGCCGGUGAGUUGGACCGUGUACCACCAGGCACUGGAGGGACCGAGCAAGCUGGUGC
ensembl:lncRNA